GUCUAUGUAAUUUAUUAAAAAUACUGGUCUUGUAAAUCAGAAAAAGGAUUUUACCUCUUAGGCU
rnacentral:tRNA from 1 species